rnacentral:tRNA from 1 species
UUUAUAGUAGUUUAUUUUAAAACGUAUCAUUUUCAAUGAUAAAAAGAAUUUAUUUCUUAUAAUU